rnacentral:rRNA from 1 species
GAUGAACGCUGGCGGCGUGCCUAAUACAUGCAAGUCGAGCGAACAGACGAGGAGCUUGCUCCUCUGACGUUAGCGGCGGACGGGUGAGUAACACGUGGAUAACCUACCUAUAAGACUGGGAUAACUUCGGGAAACCGGAGCUAAUACCGGAUAAUAUAUUGAACCGCAUGGUUCAAUAGUGAAAGACGGUUUUGCUGUCACUUAUAGAUGGAUCCGCGCCGCAUUAGCUAGUUGGUAAGGUAACGGCUUACCAAGGCAACGAUGCGUAGCCGACCUGAGAGGGUGAUCGGCCACACUGGAACUGAGACACGGUCCAGACUCCUACGGGAGGCAGCAGUCGGGACUCUUCCGCAAUGGGCGAAAGCCUGACGGAGCACCGCCGCGUGAGUGAUGAAGGUCUCCGGAUCGUAAAACUCUGUUAUUAGGGAAGAACAAAUGUGUAAGUAACUAUGCACGUAUUGACGGUACCUAAUCAGAAAGCCACGGCUAACUACGUG